UACGUAGGUGGCGAGCGUUGUCCGGAUUUAUUGGGCGUAAAGAGCGUGUAGGCGGCUUUACAGGUCCGUUGUGAAAACUCGAGGCUCAACCUCGAGACGCCGGUGGAAACCGUAAAGCUAGAGUCCGGAAGAGGAGAGUGGAAUUCCUGGUGUAGCGGUGAAAUGCGCAGAUAUCAGGAAGAACACCCGUGGCGAAGGCGGCUCUCUGGGACGGUACUGACGCUGAGACGCGAAAGCGUGGGGAGCGAACAGG
rnacentral:rRNA from 1 species